UAGAUCCUCAUGUUCAUGUAUUGAUUAGUAGUAAAUUUGAAAAUUAUUUUUUUUUUGCUGUCAACAAAUACCUUCCAGUGGUUGAUAUUAAUAGUUCUGUAGACUCUCUUUGCAUGUAAUGGUCCUUGGCCUAUAACUAGUUUUUCUUUUGUAAGUGUGUCAAACAGCUGUUCUCAGAUAUUCUAAUUUGCUUUCUUCUAGGCAUAUGGUAGAACUGAACUUUGUUCUACUGAAAUUGCUCAUUGCCAUGUGAUUUGCUUUGGCGAAUGAAAUGAAACUGAAGGUGAUGUGUGGACUCUUCUUGGGGGAGGCAUUUCAUUGCCAGUGACAGAGAUGAAGUCUCACCAUAUUGCCCAGGCUGGUUUCAAACUCUUGGACUUAAGCAAUCCUCCCACCUCGCCUCCCAAAGUGCCAGGAACACACUUAUGUCUCUUACAGCCAUGGAAACAAUGAACUGCUAACAUGUGUUUUUAGAAAGAAUGUGGAAGUAUGGGAACCUCUUCCUUUAUGUGGUAAUUGAGAUAAAAGUUUUAAGAAAUAUAAGAAUUGCUGAGCUAUGUACAAAGACUCUGAGAAAACAGAACACAAAUGCUCCUGAACUAGCACUUGGAUGAGAUCAAAUGGACUUCGAGACUGAAAUGAAAUUCCACAAUACCAAAGACAGAGAAUGAUGAAGAAAGGGAAGAACAAAUGAAAAUUACAGGAAUAAUUAAACACCCUAGGACUGAUCUAAUAGAAGUAAUGAAUGUGAUAACUAACAAGCAAUGAUCCAUGUGGAGGAAUAUAACUCAUGAAAUAUGCCUUACAACUGUGAGCCCUGCAAUGACCCUGGGUCCUGUUCUCAUACCAUGCAUACCUCUCAUUCCACGGGACACAAAUUUGCCUUUCACAUUAGAAUGAAGACUAUUUCCUAUAUGCUCAGCCUUUUCAGUGGCCAUCAGCAAGGCACAGGGACAGGUCACUUGUAUUUUCCAAAACCUUCCUUUCUUCCUAGACAACAAUAUAUUAUUCUCUGAAAGCUUGUUCAUUGGCCUCAUUAAAUGCUGUAUUUGAGAACAAGAUUUUCACAUAUGUU
rnacentral:lncRNA from 1 species